GUGGGGAAUAUUGGACAAUGGGCGAAAGCCUGAUCCAGCAAUGCCGCGUGAGUGAUGAAGGCCUUAGGGUUGUAAAGCUCUUUUACCAGGGAUGAUAAUGACAGUACCUGGAGAAUAAGCUCCGGCUAACUCCGUGCCAGCAGCCGCGGUAAUACGGAGGGAGCUAGCGUUGUUCGGAAUUACUGGGCGUAAAGCGCGCGUAGGCGGCUCAGCAAGUCAGGGGUGAAAUCCCGGGGCUCAACCCCGGAACUGCCUUUGAAACUGCUAGGCUAGAAUCCUGGAGAGGCGAGUGGAAUUCCGAGUGUAGAGGUGAAAUUCGUAGAUAUUCGGAAGAACACCAGUGGCGAAGGCGACUCGCUGGACAGGUAUUGACGCUGAGGUGCGAAAGCGUGGGGAGCAAACAGGAUUAGAAACCCUUGUAGUCC
rnacentral:rRNA from 1 species